rnacentral:rRNA from 1 species
CCUACGGGAGGCAGCAGUGGGGAAUAUUGCACAAUGGGGGAAACCCUGAUGCAGCGACGCCGCUUGCGUUCCUCCUUCCUUCCUUCCUUUCCUCUCUCUCCUCCUUUCCUCCCAUUACGGUACCUGAGUCAGAAGCCCCGGCCAACUACGUGCCAGAAGCCGUGGUAAUACGUAGGGGGCAAGCGUUAUCCGGAUUUACUGGGUGUAAAGGGAGCGUAGACGGUGGGCAAAGUCUGGAGUGAAAGGCCGCAGCUUAACUGCGGAAGUGCUUUGGAAACUGGCGAACUAGAGUGCGGGAGGGGUAAGCGGAAUGCGUGGUGUAGCGGUGAAAUGCGUAGAUAUUAGGAGGAACACCGGUGACGAAGGCGGCUUACUGGACCGUAACUGACGUUGAGGCUCGAAAGCGUGGGGAGCAAACAGGAUUAGAGAAAAGGGUAGUC